GUAUUAGAUGCGUUAGACGCGGUAUACAUUCUGAACUUUAUAGAGUGUGUGAAAACGUAGGACCAAAGUCCGGGGGGGUGAGAUUCGCCUUGCGGCUGCACUUUCCCCUCCUUCCUCUAGAACUACCGAAGGUGCACAGGUGUGAGAUGGACGAGAAAGAGGUGUGCACAUGCCCCGGAAGGCCAGCGACAACCUCGUUCGAACUCGUUAAUGAUCCUUCCGCAGGUUCACCUACGGAAA
rnacentral:misc_RNA from 1 species